rnacentral:piRNA from 1 species
UCACAUCCCAGACGAUGGGCAGCCGGGCAGA